UAUAUAAUGAUUAUGCUCUAUCAUGGCAACCAAGUAUACAAUGAUGCAAUAAGUAAACUAUCAAGUAUACUACAUGUCUCAACACUAUGCUAUAAGCAUGUCAUAGUAAUCCAACUACUAAUCCUAUCUAGUAGUGAUUAUCAUCUCUCGAUUAAAUAUCAUUGUUUCCAACAUGUUCUAGGACCUACAUAUUGUAGUCCAGCUUGUGCCACCUAAGUGUCGGUGGUAGCUCCAGCAUUCUCACUCUAGGAAUGAGUCUAUCCCUCCCGACCCCGUAGGUUUCUCGAUACCACACGAGCGAGCAUAAGUCGCGUAGGCCAACUCCGGAGUGCCGGCUUGUAGGGAGCGACCCUCACAAGCAUGUGCGAAUGAGCACAAAUGGCAAACAAGCGUAAUCAUCGUCUCAAAUACCCAAUCAUCA
rnacentral:lncRNA from 1 species